rnacentral:misc_RNA from 1 species
GAAAACCCACAAUCCAGUGUCAAGAAAGAAGUCAACUUUUCUUCCCCUAUUUCCCUGCAUUUCUCCUCUGUGCUCACUGCCACACGCAGCUCAACCUGAGCUACACAGCCAGAUGCGAGAUGCUUCUCUGCUGAUCUGAGUCUGCCUGCAGCAUGGACCUUGGUCUUCCCUGAAGCAUCUCCAGGGCUGGAGGGACGACUGCCAUGGGCUGAGUCUGGGCCCCCGGACCCACGUGCAGGCAGGGACCCUCCCCAAGCCCACACUCUGGGCUGAGCCAGGCUCUGUGAUCACCCAGGGGAGUCCCGUGACCCUCUGGUGUCAGGGGAUCCUGGAGACCCAGGAGUACCGUCUGUAUAGAGAAAAGAAAACAGCACCCUGGAUUACACGGAUCCCACAGGAGAUUGUGAAGAAGGGCCAGUUCCCCAUCCCAUCCAUCACCUGGGAACACACAGGGCGGUAUCGCUGUUUCUACGGUAGCCACACUGCAGGCUGGUCAGAGCCCAGUGACCCCCUGGAGCUGGUGGUGACAGGAGCCUACAUCAAACCCACCCUCUCAGCUCUACCCAGCCCUGUGGUGACCUCAGGAGGGAACGUGACCCUCCAUUGUGUCUCACAGGUGGCAUUUGGCAGCUUCAUUCUGUGUAAGGAAGGAGAAGAUGAACACCCACAAUGCCUGAACUCACAGCCCCGUACCCAUGGGUGGUCCCGGGCCAUCUUCUCUGUGGGCCCCGUGAGCCCGAGUCGCAGGUGGUCGUACAGGUGCUAUGCUUAUGACUCGAACUCUCCCCAUGUGUGGUCUCUACCCAGUGAUCUCCUGGAGCUCCUGGUCCUAGGUGUUUCUAAGAAGCCAUCACUCUCAGUGCAGCCAGGUCCUAUAGUGGCCCCUGGGGAGAGCCUGACCCUCCAGUGUGUUUCUGAUGUCAGCUACGACAGAUUUGUUCUGUAUAAGGAGGGAGAACGUGACUUCCUCCAGCUCCCUGGCCCACAGCCCCAGGCUGGGCUCUCCCAGGCCAACUUCACCCUGGGCCCUGUGAGCCGCUCCUACGGGGGCCAGUACAGAUGCUCCGGUGCAUACAACCUCUCCUCCGAGUGGUCGGCCCCCAGCGACCCCCUGGACAUCCUGAUCGCAGGACAGUUCCGUGGCAGACCCUUCAUCUCGGUGCAUCCGGGCCCCACGGUGGCCUCAGGAGAGAACGUGACCCUGCUGUGUCAGUCAUGGGGGCCGUUCCACACUUUCCUUCUGACCAAGGCGGGAGCAGCUGAUGCCCCCCUCCGUCUCAGAUCAAUACACGAAUAUCCUAAGUACCAGGCUGAAUUCCCUAUGAGUCCUGUGACCUCAGCCCACUCGGGGACCUACAGGUGCUACGGCUCACUCAGCUCCAACCCCUACCUGCUGUCUCACCCCAGUGACUCCCUGGAGCUCAUGGUCUCAGGAGCAGCUGAGACCCUCAGCCCACCACAAAACAAGUCCGAUUCCAAGGCUGGUGAGUGAGGAGAUGCUUGCCGUGAUGACGCUGGGCACAGAGGGUCAGGUCCUGUCAAGGGGAGCUGGGUGUCCUGGGUGGACAUUUUAAAAAAUUACAUUCAUUCUAAUUUAAAGAAUUCUUCAACACCUUUAAUGAUUUAUAAGUGAAGUAUUUCAUUCCUUUACAUUUUUAAAAUAAGAGAUAACUAUCCAUGAGAAAGCUACUGCUUUGAGUAUAUUCAUUGUAUUUCAUGCUAACUCACUACUAAAUUGCUCUGUUCUAACUGCUUUUCAAUGGAUCUCCUCUAAUUUACUAAUACAAUUUGUAUAAACCGUAAGACAAUGGGAAAUUUUACUUCUUUAUUUCUAAAUUAUGUGCCAAUAUUUCUCACUUUAAAUGUCAAUAUAUAUGUUACUACAUCUUAAAUAAAUAUCUGAAGUUUUACAUAUAUA